ACAGCAGUCGCCACGGUGAUACGUAGGGUGCGAGCGUUAAUCGGAAUUACUGGGCGUAAAGCGUGCGCAGGCGGUUAUAUAAGACAGAUGUGAAGUCCCCGGGCUCAACCUGGGACCUGCAUUUGUGACUGUAUAGCUAGAGUACGGUAGAGGGGGAUGUAAUUCCGCGUGUAGCAGUGAAAUGCGUAGAUAUGCGGAGGAACACCGAUGGCGAAGGCAAUCCCCUGGACCUGUACUGACGCUCAUGCACGAAAGCGUGGGGAGCAAACAGGAUUAGAUACCCCGUAGUCCCUGUCUCUUAUACA
rnacentral:rRNA from 1 species